rnacentral:tRNA from 1 species
GCCCCCAUAGUUCAAAGGAUAGAACAAGGGACUCCUAAGCCCUGGAUCCAUGUUCGAUUCAUGGUGGGGGCA